rnacentral:lncRNA from 1 species
AUGUCUCCUGUACUAAUCAGCCCUUAGUCCACCGCAUCAUCCUUUUCACUAUUUUUACAGGAACUCUAAUCACAAUCGGUUCACACUGACUCUUCAUUUGAAUAGGGUUAGAAAUAAACACGCUGGCCAUCAUCUUUAUUUUAUUCAAGAAGGCUAAACUCUGUUCCACAGAAGCAGCCACCAAAUACCUCCUUCCAAAUACGAGGAACCACAUCCAUAAGUCUAACAACAGCCAUUAUUAUCAAUAUAAUGUAUUCUGGGCAAUGAACAAUUUCAAACAUGCUGAACCAAACAGCAUUCCUGAUAAUUAUUGUUGUUCUAGUACAGAAACUGGAAAUAUCCUCCUUUCACUUUUGAGUUCUUGUAGUAACAUAAGGAAUCGCACUAAUAUCAGUAUAAUUAUUCUUAAUGACAGAUACUAGCACCAAUUUCUAUCAUAUUCCAAAUCUUUCCCUCAGUGGACCUAAAUACACUAUUAACAAUUGCAGCACUAUCUAUCUUAGUAGGAGAUUAAGGGGGGCUCAAUCAAACACAGCUCUGAAAAAUGUUAGCAUAUACGUCAAUUGCCGAUAAAGUUUGAAUAAUUGCAAUUUUAAUUUACAAUCAUGUCAUUACAAUCUUAAGUCUACUAACUUACCUAAUAUUAACAGCAACUGUAUCUAUUCUCAAUAUGAAUAUAAAUACUAAAACAUUAUCUACAUGACUGAGUGCUGUUACCUCACCCACUCACAAAACACCAAAAAGAUAUUUUCUUUAUUAGCCUG